CCUACGGGAGGCAGCAGUGGGGAAUAUUGGACAAUGGGGGAAACCCUGAUCCAGCGAAGCCGCGUGAGUGAAGACGUAUUUCGGUACGUAAAGCUCUAUCAGCAGGAAAGAAAAUGACGGUACCUGACUAAUAUGCCCCGGCUAACUACGUGCCAGCAGCCGCGGUAAUACGUAGGGGGCAACCGUUAUCCGGAUUUACUGGGUGUAAAGGGAGCGUAGAGGGCAGCUCAAGUCUGUAGUGAAAUGCCGGGGCCCAACCCUGAAACUGCCCUUGAAACUGUCAAGCUGGAGUGCAGGAGAGGUAGGCGGAAUUCUUGGUGUAGCGGUGAAAUGCGUAGAUAUCAGGAGGAACACCGGAUGCGAAGGCAGCUUACUGGACUGCAACUGACGUUGAGGCUCGAAGGCGUGGGGAGCAAACAGGAUUAGAUACCCCAGUAGUC
rnacentral:rRNA from 1 species